UACGGAGGGGGCUAGCGUUGUUCGGAAUUACUGGGCGUAAAGCGCACGUAGGCGGCUCGAUCAGUCAGGGGUGAAAUCCCAGGGCUCAACCCUGGAACUGCCUUUGAUACUGUCGAUCUGGAGUAUGGAAGAGGUGAGUGGAAUUCCGAGUGUAGAGGUGAAAUUCGUAGAUAUUCGGAGGAACACCAGUGGCGAAGGCGGCUCACUGGGCCAUUACUGACGCUGAGGUGCGAAAGCGUGGGGAGCAAACAGG
rnacentral:rRNA from 1 species